rnacentral:rRNA from 1 species
UACGAAGGGGGGCUAGCGUUGUUCGGAAUUACUGGGCGUAAAGGGUUUGUAGGCGGUUGAACAAGUCAGUGGUGAAAGCCCAGAGCUUAACUCUGGAAUUGCCAUUGAAACUGUUCAGCUUGAGAGUGUUAGAGGAAAGUGGAAUUCCUAGUGUAGGAGUGAAAUCCGUAGAGAUUAGGAGGAAUAUCGAUGGCGAAGGCAGCUUUCUGGGACAUUUCUGACGCUGAGAAACGAAAGCGUGGGUAGCAAACAGG